CCCAAAGAGAGUCGUUCAAUGUGGUCGCUGCCAUAUGCUAGGACAUUCUCAAAAGAAAUGCACAUUGCCCCUGCGAUCUUAAUAAUGUGUUCUUGCAAGCAUGAUUUAACGACGUGUACCUCUUAAAUAAUUUAGUCAGAAUACUAGGCUUCAGUGGCAUAGUUUCAACUGUUCGAUGUUGUGAUCCUUGUAAUCAUAUGACUAUAAACUUAGUUGUCUUCUCAUUGUUUAAUUAAUUACUCGAGUUCCU
rnacentral:lncRNA from 1 species